CGUGCUCGAAGGAUGCCAUGGUCAGGGCAGAGCCUCCAGAGCAGGUGUUGUGCCUGGAGCUGCUCUCCUGGCCUCCUUGGAUUUAUCGCAAAAACUGAAGGUUUGCGUGAGAGACGAGGACAGCGGAAAGUGGACCUGCCAGGCCGGGAGUGUGUCCCUCACCAACUAUGCACACAGCACUCGCUCUUAGCUCCUCUGUCCGGGCUACUAGGAGUGAGACCAGCUUCUGGCAACUGCCCCAGCUCCAGGCCAUCCCAUAGCUCCUCCUCUUCUGGCUGCCCCCAAUGCCCCGAGGCCUGGGGAGCCCCCAGCUCACCCAUCUGUAGCUCCCUCAAAGUCAGGGCCCACCCCAUCUGAGGCAGAGAAGACUCGAGUCCAGCCCCCAGGAAGCCUGCUCCCCUCUCUGGCCCAUGGUCCUGCUUCAUGCUUUGGGUCAGGAGGCCAAAGCUGAUGUUCAGGCCCCACCCACUCCCUACAGUCCUCAGACCAAGGAGGGUUUGGGUAGUAGGCCCGAGCUGCAUUUCCGGCCUUCCGUGGGCCAACUGGCAGCCCAGGAGUGGGGAGGCUUUGGCCAGGCAUGCUGCCACUUGUGCGUGAGUCCGCGGCUGGCCCUUGGAGGUGACCAUCCAGGCAGGCCUGGCUCAGACUGGAAGGGCUGGGGACCGAGGGCUCCCCUGCCUCUGUUCUCCUUUCUGACCCACUGGGAUUUGCUAGCAGGCUGCCCCAGCCCCAUCACCGAAACACAUACUCAAGAGCUCAAAUACCACUGCUCCCACCAGCGUACGGAUUAAGUUCAUCAGGCUUCCAUCGGCUGGAGCAUGGGACCAUAGCCCCUGCCCAGGAGCCAUACCCUCGGACCACAGUGGCUCUGUAUGGCCAGGAACUGGGACUCGAGCUUUCAGAUUCUCAACUAGCCUUGGCAAAACAGCUGUAGGCGGCCUCCCUGACAACAGACACUCAGCCCUCCCCACCCUGGCUCUCCUUGCAUUUCCCCAUGCUCCCCACCCCCUGGCAAAAGGCUGGCCAUGCUCUGUUCCCAGCAGCCGCGCAGGUUUCCCCACUGGCUGCAAUGGCCCUACUAAAAGCCACGUUGCAUAUCCGUUGUAAGCACGUGCCCUGUGCCCUGUCCCCAUUCCUUAUGCCCUAGGAGGCCAAGCUGGUGUCUCUAGGAGGGCCCACACGGGCACCCUGGAUCCCCCAGAGAGCAGAUUGGUGUGCUCAGGCCGCAGGCUGACUCAGAGCUAGGGCAGUGGGCUCUGCAGGCCACCUGGCUGGGGUUGGUGGGGGUCCUCUCUCCUGCCCCAGCUUCCACUCAGCCACCACAGUUGCCCCACCAUGGGGUGGAGACGUGGGUCACCACCGGCUUGGGAGCAAGCGCCUUCUGCAGCACAGGAAGCCGAAGCUGGGGUCAGAUGAGGUUGCUACCCCUGGAGGUCUGGCAUAAGGGCCCCACCCUCAGGUCUCCUACACUGGCCCCAUUUUACUUUGGGGUCCAAGGACAGGAUGGUCAACAGGGCAGGGUGGACAGCGUGCCAGCGCCGCGCAGGGCCACCUCCCUGGGUGGAUGCAUCACACUAAGGAAGCGAGUGCCAAGGGGAUUUAGUGGUGUGGUUCUUUCAAAGGGAGGUCAGGGUAAAUGGGAAUCUGCUCGGACACUCAACAUGGGGGUGGGUGCACUCCUUGGAGGAGGAGGAACAUGUUCAGGGGAUCGUGAGGUCUUGCACAAGCCACGUGGGGCACCUUGGCUUCCCGGCAGGAGGUGGACACCCAGCCAGAGGCCUGGCUCAAGGUGACCUCACCUUCACCAUGGGCUUCCUGGGUGCGCGGGCCUGAGCGCAGGUUGUUUUGUACAUAUUGGAAUAUGUGUUAACUUAUGCCCCGCAUCCCAACUCACACGGAAGCACGGGUCUUGUCUCAGUCUCUUCGCUGCAUUUGGAAAGCAGUCUCCUCUCGGGCCAGCGCCGGGCUGAGGUGUCCAGAGGCGGCGGCAGCUGGCAGUGCCCUCAGCCCCCAAGUGUCCAGCCUGGCACUUCCCAUUCAGGCCACCUGCUUUGGGUCAACAGUUCCUUUGCCAGCAGCAUCUCCUAAAUUGUAAGGACUCUGUCCACCCGGGGUCCUCCCAGGGCUGUGAGGACGGAAACAGGCAGGCAGUGGAGCUAACAGCUUAGUCACCAGGACCCCCAGACCUGCAAACGUCCCCUCCUGGAAGGGGAAGCCAGGAACAGCAGAACUGCCCACAAAACAAGGCUGUGAACUUUUCGGGAACUGGAACUGUUUAACUUGAACCCAGGAUUGUUUAAAGCUUUAUUUAUU
rnacentral:lncRNA from 1 species